rnacentral:lncRNA from 1 species
GAAUAUGAAGGUACAGGCGUUCUCUGCGGGGGAUGCGGCAUAAUCGGCCACAAUCUCAGGACCUGCUCCUUCACUCCGAGCCCCCAAACACUUCCAAAUGCUAGUUCAUCAGCCACACCUCCUCAGGCAGAGAUCAAGACUGACACCAAGUGGAAACUGGUUAACUUCCCCAAAAGAAAAUCAGAAGGCAGUAAACCCUCAAACUAAGUACACAUUACUGAGGCACGAACAGGUAAGAAUUCUCACCAUAAUAAUUCAAUUCGCAAUACCACUAAUAGAUCGAGAAUCCUUUCUCUGAUGUCUAUGAGAUUGAAAAACCCUUCUCUAGUGCUGAAAGGAGCUAAACUGAAAGCGGUAGAUGGUGCCCUUGAAAAGAAGG